UACGGAGGGGACUAGCGUUGUUCGGAAUUACUGGGCGUAAAGCGCACGUAGGCGGAUUUGUAAGUCAGGGGUGAAAUCCCGGGGCUCAACCUCGGAACUGCCUUUGAUACUGCAAAUCUCGAGUCCGGAAGAGGUGAGUGGAAUUCCUAGUGUAGAGGUGAAAUUCGUAGAUAUUAGGAAGGACACCAGUGGCGAAGGCGGCUCACUGGUCCGGUACUGACGCUGAGGUGCGAAAGCGUGGGGAGCAAACAGG
rnacentral:rRNA from 1 species